rnacentral:rRNA from 1 species
UACGUAGGCAGCAAGCGUUGUUCGGAGUUACUGGGCGUAAAGAGUGCGUAGGCGGUGCUCCAAGUCUGUUGUGAAAUCUCCCGGCUUAACUGGGAGGGUGCGGUGGAAACUGGGGUGCUUGAGUGUGGGAGAGGUAAGCGGAAUUCCUGGUGUAGCGGUGAAAUGCGUAGAUAUCUGGAGGAACACCGGUGGCGAAGGCGGCAUCCUGGACCAAUAUUGACGCUGAGGAGCGAAAGCCAGGGGAGCAAACGGG